UCUGCCUGGUAGUGGGGGAUAACUUGCCGAAAGGUAAGCUAAUACCGCAUACGCCCUAAGGGGGAAAGCAGGGGACUCUUCGGAGCCUUGCGCUAUUAGAUGAGCCUAGGUCGGAUUAGUUAGUUGGUGGGGUAAUGGCUCACCAAGGCCGCGAUCCGUAACUGGUCUGAGAGGAUGAUCAGUCACACUGGAACUGAGACACGGUCCAGACUCCUACGGGAGGCAGCAGUGGGGAAUAUUGGACAAUGGGGGGAACCCUGAUCCAGCCAUGCCGCGUGUGUGAAGAAGGCCUUCGGGUUGUAAAGCACUUUAAUUUGGGAGGAAGGGCUUACGGUUAAUAGCCGCUAAGUUUUGACGUUACCAAAAGAAUAAGCACCGGCUAACUUCGUGCCAGCAGCCGCGGUAAUACGAAGGGUGCGAGCGUUAAUCGGAAUUACUGGGCGUAAAGCGCGCGUAGGUGGUUCAUUAAGUUAGGAGUGAAAGCCCCGGGCUCAACCUGGGAAUUGCUUCUAAAACUGGUGAGCUAGAGUACGGUAAAGGGUGGUGGAAUUUCCUGUGUAGCGGUGAAAUGCGUAGAUAUAGGAAGGAACAUCAGUGGCGAAGGCGACCACCUGGACUGAUACUGACACUGAGGUGCGAAAGCGUGGGGAGCAAACAGGAUUAAAUACCCUGGUAUUCCACGCCGUAAACGAUGUCAACUA
rnacentral:rRNA from 1 species